rnacentral:rRNA from 1 species
GAUGAACGCUGGCGGCGUGCCUAAUACAUGCAAGUCGAACGAGGUGCUUUUGUAGCAAUACGAAAGUAUCCUAGUGGCGAACGGGUGAGUAACGCGUUGGUGACCUACCCCAAAGUGUGGGAUAACAGUUCGAAAGAACUGCUAAUACCACAUGUGGUUAUCGGAUUUAGAAACUGAUAACUAAAGGAGCAAUUCGCUUUGGGAGGGACCUGCGUCCCAUCAGCUAGUUGGUGAGGUAAUGGCUCACCAAGGCUACGACGGGUAGGGGACCUGAGAGGUCGACCCCCCACAAUGGAACUGAAACACGGUCCAUACACCUAUGGGUGGCAGCAGUAGGG